rnacentral:lncRNA from 1 species
GUGGAACUCAUGCAGUCGCAAUGACACUCCCCGCUUACAGUUGGACUUCCCUACCAUACACCCAGCUGAAAGGCAUCGUUCCAGCUUUCUUGGCUCUGCUCUGGGCCCUCUCGUCCAGCCUCCUGAUCCUUGGAGCAAGGGUGCAAAGGUAGUCCUGCGCCUUGUUACCCUCACCGGACAGGCCACUAAGGUCUGCCACCUUCCACCUGUUGACAAGGAACUCAAGGAUGUCGGCAUAGUCCCUGGCGGUGUACACGCCAAGCCUCUGUGCGACCAUGGAGAAGUGCUCAAACAGCUUGUCGUCCUCCCCGUCGAACAUCAGGUGGGCAGGCA